AUUAUUAUCUCCGAGAUGCCUCGAAGCGCUUCACAGAAUGUACUUUAAGUGAAUUAAUUGUGUAUUUUGUGGACUUAAUGCGGCAUCCAACUGCGCACAGCAGAUCUUUUAGAAUAUAGGAUUGUUGAUCACAAUACCGUAAUGUAAAGGAAUUUGAAUUUUUUUUGAAUAGUCACAGUGUGAACAUGGAAAAGAAUAGCAGAAAGGUGGAAUUGGAGCAUUGGAGUAGAUUUGGCCAUUUUCUACCAGAAGACUCUCAAUGGGAGGAAUUCCACUUUUUAUAAUUACACAACUUUAAUUUUCUCGAUGUGUUUCCAAAAUUCUUCUCUGGAUUCAAUAUUUUUGGGAAGAAAUAAACAAACAAUAAAAUCAAUUACUUUUACAUCUCUCUGAAAAUUAAAAGUUUUGAAGGUUUGGCAGGAGGUUCUGUGUAGUUCAGUAGAGGGAGGGAGCCCACGAUCAACUGGGAAACUUUAUAUACAUUAAUAAUCAAAAGAGAAAAGAAAAGUCUCAGGUUUCAAUCCCCUCUGAAUAUAUUUCUUCAUUUUCAUCCUCACAGAGGUGAUCCCAACCGAGACGAUGCUGGAAGGUUUUCAACAAGAUGAACAUGACAACCUCUGGCCGACAGCUUCCACCUUCAUCAUCCUCUUCUUCCUGAGUAUUUUCUACAGUGCCACGGUCACUCUAUUUAAGGUAAAAUGAGUUUAUUACCAUCAGCUUCACCGAUGUUCCUCAUCUGUUUGUGUUUAUCUUCAAUUUCCUGUGACAGAGUAUGUGAUGUCUUGUUUCACCCAAUGAACCAUUCAUGGGAAGUCAACAUUGUAUUGUGCAACUACAUGAAUUUUAGUGACUUUUCUUAUUGUUAGUCUAUGUUACAAUGUGCCUUUUGUUAAUAAUACAUAAUGUUGUUAUUUCAUGUACUGAGCGCCUCUCUGAUAUUCUUUAUUUGCUGUUUACUGAUUGUGUGGUGUAAUGAUACAGAAAGACAGAGGCUGUUAUAUUUUGUCCUUUUAUUUCAUUCUGAAGAUGUGUAUUUGUGAUCCGGUCCUAUUCCAUAAUGCCUACAGAUUCUCUCUAUUUGUUUGCCCGAAGUAUCAAUAAAUGAUAAAAGUUA